rnacentral:rRNA from 1 species
CAAUAGCGUAUAUUAAAGUUGUUGCAGUUAAAAAGCUCGUAGUUGGAUUUCUGGGAGGGUGCCAAUGUCCGCCAACGUGCGUGUGCAGCGGCGCCCUUCCAUCCUUCUGUUAACGCCUCUUGGCAUUCAUUUGCUGGUAGCGGGCUCAGAUAUUUUACCUUGAGAAAAUUAGAGUGUUUCAGGCAGGCUUGGCCGGAAUACAUUAGCAUGGAAUAAUGGAAUAGGACUAUGGUCUCUUUGUUGGUUUUGAGGGGACCUGCAGUAAUGUAUUAAUAGGAUAGGUUGGGGGCAUUAGUUAUUUAAUUGUCAGAGGUGGAAUUCUCAGUAUUUAGUUAAAGACUUAACUUAUGACGAAAGCUAUUUGCCGAAGGAUUGUUUUCUAAUUAAUACAAGAAACGUAAAGGUUAAGGGGAUACAAAGACGAUCAGAUACCAU